rnacentral:rRNA from 1 species
CAUCGGAAUCUACCUUGUCGUGGGGGAUAACGUAGGGAAACUUACGCUAAUACCGCAUACGACCUACGGGUGAAAGCGGAGGACCGCAAGGCUUCGCGCGAUUGGAUGAGCCGAUGUCGGAUUAGCUAGUUGGCGGGGUAAAGGCCCACCAAGGCGACGAUCCGUAGCUGGUCUGAGAGGAUGAUCAGCCACACUGGAACUGAGACACGGUCCAGACUCCUACGGGAGGCAGCAGUGGGGAAUAUUGGACAAUGGGCGCAAGCCUGAUCCAGCCAUGCCGCGUGGGUGAAGAAGGCCUUCGGGUUGUAAAGCCCUUUUGUUGGGAAAGAAAAGCAGUCGGUUAAUACCCGAUUGUUCUGACGGUACCCAAAGAAUAAGCACCGGCUAACUUCGUGCCAGCAGCCGCGGUAAUACGAAGGGUGCAAGCGUUACUCGGAAUUACUGGGCGUAAAGCGUGCGUAGGU